AGAAACAAAAUAAACUGUUUAAAAAACAAAUGCUCACUGCCUCUGACCGGUGGACUUCUCACACAACUAAGUGACGCGUGCUCUGGAACCCGGAACUUUGACAAGAGCACCACUCUUUCAAGAGAAUGUGAGGACGGUCCCUGCCACAGGUCCCUGGAAUGUCCUGACCUCCCAGAGCUCUUAGAACAAAUUAAAUGUUCUUCAUGAAAACAACUGUGUAAGUA
rnacentral:lncRNA from 1 species